CGAGGGGAGUGAAAAAGAACCUGAAACCGUGUACGUACAAGCAGUGGGAGCACGCUUAGGCGUGUGACUGCGUACCUUUUGUAUAAUGGGUCAGCGACUUAUAUUCUGUAGCAAGGUUAACCGAAUAGGGGAGCCGAAGGGAAACCGAGUCUUAACUGGGCGUUAAGUUGCAGGGUAUAGACCCGAAACCCGGUGAUCUAGCCAUGGGCAGGUUGAAGGUUGGGUAACACUAACUGGAGGACCGAACCGACUAAUGUUGAAAAAUUAGCGGAUGACUUGUGGCUGGGGGUGAAAGGCCAAUCAAACCGGGAGAUAGCUGGUUCUCCCCGAAAGCUAUUUAGGUAGCGCCUCGUGAAUUCAUCUCCGGGGGUAGAGCACUGUUUCGGCAAGGGGGUCAUCCCGACUUACCAACCCGAUGCAAACUGCGAAUACCGGAGAAUGUUAUCACGGGAGACACACGGCGGGUGCUAACGUCCGUCGUGAAGAGGGAAACAACCCAGACCGCCAGCUAAGGUCCCAAAGUCAUGGUUAAGUGGGAAACGAUGUGGGAAGGCCCAGACAGCCAGGAUGUUGGCUUAGAAGCAGCCAUCAUUUAAAGAAAGCGUAAUAGCUCACUGGUCGAGUCGGCCUGCGCGGAAGAUGUAACGGGGCUAAACCAUGCACCGAAGCUGCGGCAGCGACGCUGAUGCGUUGUUGGGUAGGGGAGCGUUCUGUAAGCCUGCGAAGGUGUGCUGUGAGGCAUGCUGGAGGUAUCAGAAGUGCGAAUGCUGACAUAAGUAACGAUAAAGCGGGUGAAAAGCCCGCUCGCCGGAAGACCAAGGGUUCCUGUCCAACGUUAAUCGGGGCAGGGUGAGUCGACCCCUAAGGCGAGGCCGAAAGGCGUAGUCGAUGGGAAACAGGUUAAUAUUCCUGUACUUGGUGUUACUGCGAAGGGGGGACGGAGAAGGCUAUGUUGGCCGGGCGACGGUUGUCCCGGUUUAAGCGUGUAGGCUGGUUUUCCAGGCAAAUCCGGAAAAUCAAGGCUGAGGCGUGAUGACGAGGCACUGCGGUGCUGAAGCAACAAAUGCCCUGCUUCCAGGAAAAGCCUCUAAGCAUCAGGUAACAUCAAAUCGUACCCCAAACCGACACAGGUGGUCAGGUAGAGAAUACCAAGGCGCUUGAGAGAACUCGGGUGAAGGAACUAGGCAAAAUGGUGCCGUAACUUCGGGAGAAGGCACGCUGAUAUGUAGGUGAAGUCCCUCGCGGAUGGAGCUGAAAUCAGUCGAAGAUACCAGCUGGCUGCAACUGUUUAUUAAAAACACAGCACUGUGCAAACACGAAAGUGGACGUAUACGGUGUGACGCCUGCCCGGUGCCGGAAGGUUAAUUGAUGGGGUUAGCGCAAGCGAAGCUCUUGAUCGAAGCCCCGGUAAACGGCGGCCGUAACUAUAACGGUCCUAAGGUAGCGAAAUUCCUUGUCGGGUAAGUUCCGACCUGCACGAAUGGCGUAAUGAUGGCCAGGCUGUCUCCACCCGAGACUCAGUGAAAUUGAACUCGCUGUGAAGAUGCAGUGUACCCGCGGCAAGACGGAAAGACCCCGUGAACCUUUACUAUAGCUUGACACUGAACAUUGAGCCUUGAUGUGUAGGAUAGGUGGGAGGCUUUGAAGUGUGGACGCCAGUCUGCAUGGAGCCGACCUUGAAAUACCACCCUUUAAUGUUUGAUGUUCUAACGUUGACCCGUAAUCCGGGUUGCGGACAGUGUCUGGUGGGUAGUUUGACUGGGGCGGUCUCCUCCUAAAGAGUAACGGAGGAGCACGAAGGUUGGCUAAUCCUGGUCGGACAUCAGGAGGUUAGUGCAAUGGCAUAAGCCAGCUUGACUGCGAGCGUGACGGCGCGAGCAGGUGCGAAAGCAGGUCAUAGUGAUCCGGUGGUUCUG
rnacentral:rRNA from 1 species